rnacentral:rRNA from 1 species
UAGGGAAUCUUCGGCAAUGGACGAAAGUCUGACCGAGCAACGCCGCGUGAGUGAAGAAGGUUUUCGGAUCGUAAAACUCUGUUGUUAGAGAAGAACAAGGACGUUAGUAACUGAACGUCCCCUGACGGUAUCUAACCAGAAAGCCACGGCUAACUACGUGCCAGCAGCCGCGGUAAUACGUAGGUGGCAAGCGUUGUCCGGAUUUAUUGGGCGUAAAGCGAGCGCAGGCGGUUUCUUAAGUCUGAUGUGAAAGCCCCUGGCUCAACCGGGGAGGGUCAUUGGAAACUGGGAGACUUGAGUGCAGAAGAGGAGAGUGGAAUUCCAUGUGUAGCGGUGAAAUGCGUAGAUAUAUGGAGGAACACCAGUGGCGAAGGCGGCUCUCUGGUCUGUAACUGACGCUGAGGCUCGAAAGCGUGGGGAGCAAACAGG